UUAGUGGUUGACAUUAUUAGAUAUUUUACAUAAUGCGUAGUGAGUCAUAGACACAGUUAAGGGAUUUGGGGACUUAGCAUCUGUGAUCAACUGUUAGUGGAGGUUUUUGUCCCACUGUAAAUCACCGUGGCCGUAGCUGCUACCGUAGUUAUCACAAUGAUAUACAACACAACAAAAACCAAAUCUAAAAUUUUAACUUCUGCCAUUCACAGGAUUCAGUACACCCCUGUACAAAGGACGGGGUGAGGAGCUGAGACAAACGCUGGCCUUAACUGCAGGCGAUCCAAAUGAAUGAACUAGGAGAAUUCUGGGUAACCGAGUUCUCUUGCAGCACCCCGCUCAAUGUACAAUGAAGAUUUUGGACCUCCACUGAGACGAGGCUGUCUCUGUGAGGAUCCUGAGGCAUCUAGAGAUGUUCCAGCUCCAGUUGGACUCUGCUAUACUAAGAGGAGAUGCCAGCUCCAUGUUGUCUUUGGGGACAACAAUCUCCUCAUCAAUACAACAUUGAUCAGACAGUAUAUUUAUGAUCACACCCUCCAGUGUCUCCCAUAUGAGGAUGAGGUUCCCCUUUGAGUCUGGUUCCUCUCAAGGUUUCUUCCUUUACCAUCUAAGGGAGUUGAUUUUGGCAUGGCUGAUUUUUUACAUAAUGCGUAGUGAGUCCUAGACACAGUUCGGGGAUUUGGGGAAUUUGCGUCUGUGAUCAACUGUAAGUGGAGUCCCACUGUAAAUCACUGCUUAUUUUAAAGGGACACAAGAUAUAAAUGAAAAUAACAAUGUCUUAUUAUUGUUACAGGACAGUUCAGAAUAGAUAAGCAGGAUUUAUAUACAGUGUAGACCAAUAUUUAGAGAAGGGUUUGGGUCUGUUUGUUUUUUGUUUUGGUUUUUCUUUACUUAGCCAUGUCUAAAGUCUUUCUUGUCUCUUUAUUCCUUCACUUUCUUUCUGCUUUUGUUUUUAGUUCAUCUUUAUUUAUUUUGUUUAAUUCACAUUUGUCUCACAUACGAUACAUGUCACCCCUGUACUAAAGGAGGGGACGAGGAGCUGAGACAAACGCUGGCCUUAACUGCAGUUGAACUCCUGCAGCGCCGCGCUCAAUGUGCACCGUUGUCGCCCUCUGCUGGCCGCCGGCGAUGUAGCGCGACCUAUUAAGUUAUAGGAACAUAACCUCCAAAAACCAAACUCAGCAAUGCUUCACUGAUUAAUGUCGACAUAAAAUACUUUUUAUUUCAUAUUUAAAAGAAAGUUGCUGUCUUUCGCUUAUAAUAAAUCCAAUAAAUUCCUUAAUAAUAGGUUCUAAGGUGACUAGAAUGGAACAAAGCAAUGCCUCCUUAUAAUGAAGAGAUUUAUGUACUGUUUGGGUUUGAUGGUCACUGGAUCAGACUCGAUCAGUGUCUGACUGCAGGAAUCUGAAAUAGAAGAAUAUUAAAUUAAAAAAUAAGAAAAAUUAAAAAUUGUUAAUCUCUUUCUCUAUAUGAAGUAAAAAAUAAUAUUAACAUUGAAUGAAAAUUGCUAGAGUAAAGUAACACAAAACUCUGCCUAGUCCCAUCUCAAAGAAUUAAAAUGAUUCCUGCUGCUGUAAAUGAACACAAACUGCUGCUGUGUUAAUAAAUGGUUCAAACACAGGAUUUUAUUUGCAUGACACACCCACUAGAGAUAUAAAAAAGUUUCACAUCGAAAUAACCAUGCAGAGAAAAAGCUUGCUGUCAAGUCAUUAACUGCUAUUUUUGUAGUAUUUGCUAACAUGACCUUACACUCCUUCUGCUAAUUGCAAAUAAAUACAUUUAGCAUUUA